rnacentral:rRNA from 1 species
GACGAACGCUGGCGGCGUGCCUAAUACAUGCAAGUCGAACGAGUUGCGAACGGGUGAGUAACGCGUGGUAACCUGCCUCAUAGCGGGGGAUAACUAUUUGAAACGGUAGCUAAUACCGCAUACCCACAGAUGUGCCCAGAUGGGAUUAGCUAGUAGGUGGGGUAACGGCUCACCUAGGGUACGAUCCCUAGCUGGUUUGAGAGGAUGGACAGCCACACUGGAGCUGAGACACGGUCCAGACUCCUACGGGAGGCAGCAGUGGGGAAUAUUGCACAAUGGGCGCAAGCCUGAUGCAGCCAGGCCGCGUGUAUGAAGAAGGCCUUCGGGUUGGAAAGUACUUUCAGCGGGGAGGCGUUACCCGCAGAAGAAGCACCGGCUAACUCCGUGCCAGCAGCCGCGGUAAUAC